GAUCCAUGGCUCAGGAUGAACGCUAGCGACAGGCUUAACACAUGCAAGUCGAGGGGCAGCAUGAGGUAGCAAUACCUUGAUGGCGACCGGCGCACGGGUGAGUAACGCGUAUGCAACCUGCCCGAUACCGGGGUAUAGCCCAUGGAAACGUGGAUUAACACCCCAUAGUACUUUUAUCCUGCAUGGGAUGUGAGUUAAAUGUUCAAGGUAUCGGAUGGGCAUGCGUCCUA
rnacentral:rRNA from 1 species